GGUUAGGAUUAUGGUUUGGGAGUUUAGAAAGUCUUUUAAAUGUUUAAUGAAUGUUAUUUAGAAAUUAUUACCAUUGUGUGUUAUUUUUUGAUAAAUAUUUUGUGAUGUAUAUGGGAUUUGUCUAUUUCUAUUCGUUAAUAUAAACUGUAUUAGAUUGUAAGGAUCUUAUAUAAUUCAAAUGUGUGUUUUUUUGUUUGCUAGAUACACAAAUAUUUUAAUUACCCUUUAAAAAAGC
rnacentral:lncRNA from 1 species